UACGGAGGGUGCGAGCGUUGUCCGGAAUCACUGGGCGUAAAGGGCGCGUAGGCGGCGCGGGAAGUCAUCGGUGAAAGCUCAGGGCUCAACUCUGAGUCGGCCGGUGAUACUCUCGUGCUUGAGCACUGUAGAGGCAGGUGGAAUUCCGGGUGUAGCGGUGGAAUGCGUAGAGAUCCGGAAGAACACCGGUGGCGAAGGCGGCCUGCUGGGCAGUAGCUGACGCUGAUGCGCGAAAGCGUGGGGAGCAAACAGG
rnacentral:rRNA from 1 species